rnacentral:rRNA from 1 species
GACGAACGCUGGCGGCGUGCUUAACACAUGCAAGUCGAACGGAAAGGCCCUGCUUUUGUGGGGUGCUCGAGUGGCGAACGGGUGAGUAACACGUGAGUAACCUGCCCUUGACUUUGGGAUAACUUCAGGAAACUGGGGCUACUACCGUAUAGGAGCUCCUGCUGCAUUGUGGGGGUUGGAAAGUUUCGGCGGUUGGGGAUGGACUCGCGGCUUAUCAGCUUGUUGGUGGGGUAGUGGCUUACCAAGGCUUUGACGGGUAGCCGGCCUGAGAGGGUGACCGGCCACAUGGGGACUGAGAGACGGACCAGACUCCUACGGGAGGCAGCAGUGGGGAAUAUUGCACAAUGGGCGGAAGCCGGAUGCAGAAACGCCGCGUGCGGGAUGACGGCCUGCGGGUUGUAAACCGCUUUAGCCUGUGACGAAGCGUGAGUGACGGUAAUGGGUAAAGAAGCACCGGCUAACUACGUG